rnacentral:lncRNA from 1 species
AUUAAUGGGCAUUUACAUCUUUCUAUUUGGUUGGUGUCAGUAGAGCGAAAAGGGAAAGGAUAAAGGGAAAGGACGGUUGAAUUGUAGUGGUGGUGGAAUAUCACCGCAAUCCAACUCUCCUUCCUCUUCUUCUUUUCCUUUUCUGUUUCUCCAUAUGUACCACUUCUGCUGGAGGUGGUUUCGGCCAAAUUGGUUUGCACGAAUUGCCAUCCAAAAUAUGUUUCGGACAUUCAGU